ACUUCUUUAGUAUAACUAGUACAAUUGACUUCCAAUCAAUUAGCUCCAGAUCACUCCGGAAAGAAGUA
rnacentral:tRNA from 1 species